rnacentral:rRNA from 1 species
CCUAACACAUGCAAGUCGAACGCUUCACCGGUUUCGGCCGGUGGGGAGUGGCGCACGGGUGAGUAGCGCGUGGGAACCUGCCCUGUUGUGGGGGAUAACCGAGGGAAACUUCGGCUAAUACCGCAUAAGCCCCGGAGCAAUCCGGGGGAAAGAUUUAUCGCGACAGGAGGGGCCCGCGUCGGAUUAGCUAGUUGGCGGGGUAACGGCCCACCAAGGCGGUGAUCCGUAGCUGGUCUGAGAGGAUGAUCAGCCACACUGGGACUGAGACACGGCCCAGACUCCUACGGGAGGCAGCAGUGGGGAAUAUUGGACAAUGGGCGCAAGCCUGAUCCAGCAAUGCCGCGUGAGUGAUGAAGGCCUUAGGGUUGUAAAGCUCUUUCGCCCGCGACGAUGAUGACG